AGCUUUACGAAUCCAUGAUGAGAUUUCGUCAAACACCAACCGAUUUGGGCUGAUCAGACUUCCAAGAUAAGUGAAGUU
rnacentral:pre_miRNA from 1 species